AUCCAACUCUAGAUUAUAUGUAAAGCAGAAGACUUAGUUUAAGUUAACCUAGGAAUCUUCUCAUAAUAUGUGCUUCAGGUGGGUAGGGCAUACAGUUGGUG